GAUAGCUGAGACAUGUCAAUAAAAGUAUCAUUAGGGUCCCCCUAAUGGGAAUUAAGGCGGCCACCGUCCUAAGCACAACUUUCCUUGCCCUCCUCUUUGCUCCCGAGUCCUAAUGUUACCAUUAAGCCUCUUAAGAGAGAAAAGCAGGCCUUUCUAUGGCAAGGCGGAACAGAACAUCCGCUAUAACGCACACCCCAGGCCUGGCGCGAAGCAGGCAACAGGUCGCUGGCGACCCGUAUCCUUCACAGCCGUGGGAGGGAAGCUGGGCGGACGCCAAGCACCUGGGGCAGAGUCGCUCAAGGCCGAGGUGAGCCGAGGACGCGGAGGCAGCAGCGUCAAGGCAGAGAGGAGAACCUCGCCGCGCUGCAGACGCCGGGCGGCGGAUCACCUCGCGUCAAGCAGGCGAACAAGGCGCGGCGACGGACUGGGGGGCGGGCGGGGAAGGCGUGAGGCGACCAUGGACUGAUGGGGCAACUGGCAUGAACGGCGGCGGCCCAGAUCCCUGCCUCUGCCAAGCCAAGCGGCAUAGUCCCUGGCAAAGAAGCGAAGAGAAAUACCGAAAUAAUCAGGAGCCAAAGUUUUGGGGUGAUCUUCUACUGUUUAGAAAUUCAAAGAGCAGGUUUAGAAGCAGGACGUUACCUAUGUUCAGAAAUAUAGCUGGGACAUGUAUUAUUAACAAGGUAAAUAAAUGCCAGAUGUUUUGUAUCUCCAUUCUCUUUGGUUAUAUAAACAGAAGGAAACCAUAUUGAUUGUAGGUGGGAGAAAGGGAAAGUGACAGAAGGAAUAAGGAAGUGGGGGGAGGAAAACAGUAAAACAAAGAAACAAAACACCACACAUCUUGAAGAUACACAGGAGGAAAGUCAAGCAAUUGUUCUUGUGAAAAGGGAAGUUCACAACUCCUGCCUUCAACCAAAGUACAGGGGUACCACGGGUUAAGUACUUAAUUUGUUCCGGAGGUCCGUUCUUAACCUGAAACUGUUCUUAACCUGAAGCACCACUUUAGCUAAUGGGGCCUCCCGCUGCCGCCGUGCCGCCGGAGCACAGUUUCUGUUCUCAUCCUGAAGCAAAGUUCUUAACCCGAGGUACUAUUUCUGAUUUAGCGGAGUCUGUAACCUGAAGCGUAUGUAACCUGAGGUACCACUGUAGUGGGUGGGCCAGUCAUUAUUGGCAGUGUGGAGGUUAAACUAGCGCACCCAAAUUUUGGCUUAAAUGUUUGAAAAGAGAUGGGGGCACUGGCUCUGCUCUGUGACUCUUUAAAAUCAUCAGCCUUGCCAUCAGAACUGGAGAUGGUGCCAGUUUAUUUUAACAACUCUGAGCAUUGAGUGUCUUCUUUAUUAGUGCACCUUUCCUUCUCUCUUACCUGGAGAAG